UCGUGAAAAAGGACUCCGUUGCCAAGGAACUAUUUUUCUCCAUCGUCGUUUCAGAGCUGCUUUUGGAAGCGGAAGGAGAUAGAGGAUUUAGAAUGUGUUGUAUACACCUGCGUAUUGUCAGCGCCUGCGUGUUGUCAUGGGAACCUGGCGGGGGCGGAGGUCUGGGGGCCUGAGGACCAGGCCACGCCCCCUGAGGGAAGAGGAGGAGUUACAAGCGCCAAGAGUGGAGCAAAGCUGCAGCGGGACUCCAUGGUGGCUCUGCAGCAGCGCCUCAGGAAACCGGGGCUCCUGAGGACGGAGCUCCCCGACUCGGAAUCAGAUCGGACUCGGUGCGCCUUGAGACACGCUGAGCAAGCCUUCCUCCGCGUGCUUUGCCUGGUCCUGGCCCCGAUGAACUGAGACUGCAACACCUGGGGUGCGAAAACCACCUGACCACAACAAAGGCUGAACAAACUCGGGAUGGGAAGGAGUUCUCUGCCAAGGUUCUCGUCAGACUCCCCGUGGCGCUGCGGACACGCUUUGAAACUCCUCGGGGAAUUCUUUCAGUUUUCAAGUCGGGUCGUUAAUGACCACCAAGCACAAGAGACGUCUUUUAACUCCCACCUGGGCUUCCGCGCUCACCAGCAGCAAGUGGGCCCUGACCACCCGGCUGCUGCCCCGGACGGCAGAGGGGACGCCCGUCAGACUUGAGUGCCACCUGAAGGGCCGGCCUGCGACGAAUGCAGGUGGGGACGGCUCCACCUGGCCCAAGGACAACUGCGCUAGGUCCCAACCUCACCUUUGGGGUGCCAGCCUGACACGGAACCGCGACAGCUCACUUUGAAAGAAUAAUCCCUUGUGGGGCCGGGACUGCAGCUCACACGGGUGAACGCAGGGCGUCUCCGAAAAGCACCUCCCGGGACGGACAUGGGGCCCUGCCGUUUUGGGGGAUCGCUCCCCCGCCGCAGCCUUCGACUCCGUCCAGAGAGGACGGGAAGCGGGGGGAACCGAGCUCUGCCUCCUUCAUCUUUCUGGUCCUACUGACGGAAGACCCUCCGACGUGCGAGCACACCUUCACUCCCACCGCCCUGGCUUUAACGGCAAGUGGUCUGCUUGCACAAGUGCCCGAGAGAAAACACACUCGCCUCACCGAGCCAGUCCUCACCGUCCCGCUCCCUAACGCUCGGCCUUGACUCCACUUGGUGUUUUGUUCCAGCAGCUAUUCACAACCCAAUCAAAACCCCAAUCCUGGCCAUUUUCUUCAGCGACCCCAAGACUCGAGUCCCUUCGACAGCCUUUCAGAAGUUCUUAAUUUGAGGUUCCCACCUCCCCUAAAACUUGAAGUAAUCCUGUAUAUUUAUGUAUACGUUUUUGAGGUGGUUUCAUUGCUUUCAUAUUCAUAUUCAUAUUUUUAGUGAUCUAUGACACUAAAAAACUUCAGAACCAUUAGUCUAUUCCAUUUUACAAAUCUUUUUCGAGUUCUUUACCUAGAUAAACUAAAAGAGACCAUUUCUCCAUCAAUCAGUAACACUUGAACAUCUCAAUGUUGGGUUAGUAAGCCCCCAGAAGGUCCACCCAUCACCUCUCCCUACACGUCAAGGCUAACCGACCAGGGCUAGAGGUUACGUUGUCUCAUAUAAAGGGAUUCCAAGAGACGGCAAGGAAAGGAGAGCCACGGAUGCCUGCCAAACCGGUAUGCAUGCCCCCCCACAUGACGUCUGUGCUCAGCCCAUCGAGAGGCGGGGUCUGCUUCUCCCCCUUUGAGUCUAGGCCGGGCCAUGUGACCUGCUCUGGCCAACAAUGAGCAAACACGGCCCAGAAGGGGCUCCAAAAGCACGUGCACACCAGGUUAGCCCUCUCUUGCGGCCGGGCACCCUGAGGCCAGCACAGGAAGCGGCCCGGCCAGCCCCUGGAGGACGAGGCCCCAGCUGUCCCAGCAGCCAUCCCAGUUUUGCGAGCGAGGCCGUCCUGGCCCAGCUUAACCAACUAGUCCCAGUUAAGUGACUCCAGACCAAAAGACUCAGCCAGCUAACUGACAGAGUUAUGAGAAAUAAUACAUUAUUUUUAAGAAGUUACUAAGUUGGGUGAUUUGUUACACAGUACAAACUAGUUAAGUAUUAAUUAAGCAGCCGAAGGAAAACCCA